UCGUAACCUGGCGGCUGCUUACACAGGCAAUUCGUCCGUUAGCUCCCACCUUUUGGUACACGUAGUGGCGAACUGGUGAGUUACACUGGGUGACCUCCCUGCACUUCGGGAUAACCGCCUGGAACUUGGGUCUUAUACCCGGAUAGGUCCGCACCGUGUAGGUUUUGUGGAAAGUUUUUCGGUGUGGAUGGGCCCUCGGCCUAUCAGCUUUUGUUGGUAAUGGCCUACCAAGGCGUCGACGGGUACCGGCCUGAGAGGUGGACGGCCACAUUGGGACUUGAGACACGGCCCAGACUCCUACGGGAGGCAGCAGUGGGGAAUAUUGCACAAUGGCGGAAGCCUGAUGCAGCGACGCCGCGUGGGGGAUGACGGCCUUCGGGUUGUAAACUCCUUUCACCAUCGACGAAGGGUUUCUGACGGUAGAUGGAGAAGAAGCACCGGCUAACUACGUGCCAGCAGCCGCGGUAAUACGUAGGGUGCGAGCGUUGUCCGGAAUUACUGGGCGUAAAGAGCUCGUAGGUGGUUUGUCGCGUCGUCUGUGAAAUUCCGGGGCUUAACUCCGGGCGUGCAGGCGAUACGGGCAUAACUUGAGUACUGUAGGGGAGACUGGAAUUCCUGGUGUAGCGGUGAAAUGCGCAGAUAUCAGGAGGAACACCGGUGGCGAAGGCGGGUCUCUGGGCAGUAACUGACGCUGAGGAGCGAAAGCAUGGGGAGCGAACAGGAUUAGAUACCCUGGUAGUCCAUGCCGUAAACGGUGGGCGCUAGGUGUGGGUUUCCUUCCACGGGAUCCGUGCCGUAGCUAACGCAUUAAGCGCCCCGCCUGGGGAAUACCGCCGCAAGGCUA
rnacentral:rRNA from 1 species